AGCAGUAUUGAACUGAAGAGUUUGAUCAUGGCUCAGAUUGAACGCUGGCGGCAGGCCUAACACAUGCAAGUCGAGCGGAUGAAGGGAGCUUGCUCCUGGAUUCAGCGGCGGACGGGUGAGUAAUGCCUAGGAAUCUGCCUGGUAGUGGGGGAUAACGUCCGGAAACGGGCGCUAAUACCGCAUACGUCCUGAGGGAGAAAGU
rnacentral:rRNA from 1 species